rnacentral:sRNA from 1 species
UAGCUCAGUUGGUAGAGCAGUUGACUUUUAAUCAAUUGGUCGCAGGUUCGAAUCCUGCACGACCCACCAAUUUCAGCAUUUAACUCAGAUGCUGAACGUGAAGGAUAACGUUGCGUCAGCAACGGCCCGUAGGGCGAGGCAAAGCCGAGUCAUCCUGCACGACCUACCA